rnacentral:rRNA from 1 species
GAAAUAACUGGCGUAACGCGUGCGCAGCGCUCCGGAAAGAAAGAUGUGAAAUCCCAGAGCUUAACUUUGGAAACUGCAUUUUUAACUACCGAGCUAGAGUGUGUCAGAGGGAGGUGGAAUUCCGCGUGUAGCAGUGAAAUGCGUAGAUAUGCGGAGGAACACCGAUGGCGAAGGCAGCCUCCUGGGAUAACACUGACGCUCAUGCACGAAAGCGUGGGGAGCAAACAGGAUUAGAUACCCUGGUAGUCCACGCCCUAAACGAUGUCAACUAGCUGUUGGGGCCUUCGGGCCUUGGUAGCGCAGCUAACGCGUGAAGUUGACCGCCUGGGGAGUACGGUCGCAAGAUUAAAACUCAAAGGAAUUGACGGGGACCCGCACAAGCGGUGGAUGAUGUGGAUUAAUUCGAUGCAACGCGAAAAACCUUACCUACCCUUGACAUGUCUGGAAUUCCGAAGAGAUUUGGAAGUGCUCGCAAGAGAACUGGAACACAGGUGCUGCAUGGCUGUCGUCAGCUCGUGUCGUGAGAUGUUGGGUUAAGUCCCGCAACGAGCGCAACCCUUGUCAUUAGUUGCUACGAAAGGGCACUCUAAUGAGACUGCCGGUGACAAACCGGAGGAAGGUGGGGAUGACGUCAAGUCCUCAUGGCCCUUAUGGGUAGGGCUUCACACGUCAUACAAUGGUCGGGACAGAGGGUCGCCAACCCGCGAGGGGGAGCCAAUCCCAGAAACCCGAUCGUAGUCCGGAUCGCAGUCUGCAACUCGACUGCGUGAAGUCGGAAUCGCUAGUAAUCGCGGAUCAGCAUGUCGCGGUGAAUACGUUCCCGGGUCUUGUACACACCGCCCGUCACACCAUGGGAGUGGGUUUUACCAGAAGUAGUUAGCCUAACUUUGUGGAGUGGGGGGAUUACCACAGGUAGUAAUUCAUGAUCUGGAAGC